GGGCGGUUAGCUCAGUUGGUAGAGCAUCUCGUUUACACCGAGAAUGUCGGCGGUUCGAGACCGUCACCGCCCACCA
rnacentral:tRNA from 3 species